UACGUAGGUGGCAAGCGUUAUCCGGAAUUAUUGGGCGUAAAGCGCGCGUAGGCGGUUUUUUAAGUCUGAUGUGAAAGCCCACGGCUCAACCGUGGAGGGUCAUUGGAAACUGGAAAACUUGAGUGCAGAAGAGGAAAGUGGAAUUCCAUGUGUAGCGGUGAAAUGCGCAGAGAUAUGGAGGAACACCAGUGGCGAAGGCGACUUUCUGGUCUGUAACUGACGCUGAUGUGCGAAAGCGUGGGGAUCAAACAGGAUUAGAUACCCUG
rnacentral:rRNA from 1 species